rnacentral:rRNA from 1 species
GACGAACGCUGGCGGCGUGCUUAACACAUGCAAGUCGAGCGGUAAGGCCCUUUCGGGGUACACGAGCGGCGAACGGGUGAGUAACACGUGGGUGACCUGCCUUUAGCUCUGGGAUAAGCCUGGGAAACGUGGGUCUAAUACCGGAUAUGACCCUAUGGCGCAUGUUGUGGGGUGGAAAGCCUUGUGCGGCUAGGGAUGGGCCCGCGGCCUAUCAGCUUGUUGGUGGGGUGAUGGCCCACCAAGGCGACGACGGGUAGCCGGCCUGAGAGGGCGACCGGCCACACUGGGACUGAGACACGGCCCAGACUCCUACGGGAGGCAGCAGUGGGGAAUCUUGCGC